rnacentral:ncRNA from 1 species
UAAAAGGCUCUUUUAAGAGCCACUUACACAUUUCAAAAAGAGUCA